rnacentral:lncRNA from 1 species
AUGGUAUUUAUCUUGAACAGGUUGUAACUCAACACUUGUUAAAGAAACAUCUAUACAAGGCAAGCUAUCACUGCAUGCAAAGUGAACCGGCUUAACUGUGUAUGUUCCCUUUAUACCUUCAUAGUUGAUUCCUGUGAGAGCCACAGCUGCUGUUUGAUUUUUGCAGUUUCUUUUAUCGCAGUAGAAUUGAUCGAUUAUUAUCGGAACUUGAACCUGUGAAACUUGUAUGUUUGAGAAUAGUACUCCUUGUACUGAACCUGAUCCACCCUGCAUAAUUUUUUAUUUAAUUUGUUAGAGAUCAAAUUUUUCAUUCAAUUUGAUGAAGGUAUUUGGAUUGAAUGAGAGCUUUGCAGCAUUUGAUUGAAUCAUAAUUAUUUGGCUUUGAGAGAAGAUUCAAUUAUCGGUAUGAAAUGAUUUUGAAGUUAAAUUUUCUGAUAAGCUUGAUGAACAUAUAGGAAUCUUUUUUACCUGCCAUGUUUUGAUUCUGACACCAUUCAUUGUGUUAUGCAUGUUGACAUCCCUGACAGUGAUGUUUGAGACACAGGCUCUAGUAUUAUCCUUUCCUAGACCUCCGAUGCUGAUUCCAUGCCCUGGUCCACAGU